rnacentral:rRNA from 1 species
GAACGCGAAGAACCUUACCUGGUCUUGACAUGUACGGAAUCCUUCAGAGACGGAGGAGUGCCUUCGGGAGCCGUAACACAGGUGCUGCAUGGCUGUCGUCAGCUCGUGUCGUGAGAUGUUGGGUUAAGUCCCGCAACGAGCGCAACCCUUGUCAUUAGUUGCCAUCAUUAAGUUGGGCACUCUAAUGAGACUGCCGGUGACAAGCCGGAGGAAGGUGGGGAUGACGUCAAGUCCUCAUGGCCCUUAUGACCAGGGCUUCACACGUCAUACAAUGGUCGGUACAGAGGGUAGCCAAGCCGCGAGGUGGAGCCAAUCUCACAAAACCGAUCGUAGUCCGGAUUGCACUCUGCAACUCGAGUGCAUGAAGUCGGAAUCGCUAGUAAUCGCAGGUCAGCAUACUGCGGUGAAUACGUUCCCGGGUCUUGUACACACC